rnacentral:rRNA from 1 species
CAAGGUUUCNCGUAGGUGAACCUGCGGAAGGAUCAUUA